AUUGAACGCUGGCGGCAGGCCUAACACAUGCAAGUCGAGCGGAUGAAGGGAGCUUGCUCCUGGAUUCAGCGGCGGACGGGUGAGUAAUGCCUAGGAAUCUGCCUGGUAGUGGGGGAUAACGUCCGGAAACGGGCGCUAAUACCGCAUACGUCCUGUGGGAGAAAGUGGGGGAUCUUCGGACCUCACGCUAUCAGAUGAGCCUAGGUCGGAUUAGCUAGUUUGUGGGGUAAAGGCCUACCAAGGCGACGAUCCGUAACUGGUCUGAGAGGAUGAUCAGUCACACUGGAACUGAGACACGGUCCAGACUCCUACGGUAGGCAACAGUGGGGAAUCUUGGAGAAUGGGCGAAAGCGUGAUCCAGCCAUGCCGCGUGUGUGAAGAAGGUCUUCGGAUUGUAGAGCACUUUAAGUUGGGAGGAAGGGCAGUAAGUUAAUACCUUGCUGUUUUGACGUUACCAACAGAAUAAGCACCGGCUAACUUCGUG
rnacentral:rRNA from 1 species